AAUGAGGAAUAAUGAAGCCAGCCUGGCUGCAAUUUAUAGAUACAUUGCCUGUAACUACUCCCAUUUAAGGUUUGCUUAUUAACCACCAGAAUGCAACUCCUGCAACCUCAAAAUUGUGGGCAGGAAAAAAGGUGCCAUUAAGAGUUCCAGAGAGUGGCUGGCAGGGGAGGCAUCACCUGAGCUGGUUGGCAUGAUGGUGGGAUUUAGAGUAAUGCAUGAUAUUCAAACAAAACCAGGAC